rnacentral:rRNA from 2 species
AAACCAACAGGGAUUGCCCCAGUAACGGCGAGUGAAGCGGCAACAGCUCAAAUUUGAAAUCUGGCCCUCGGGUCCGAGUUGUAAUUUGUAGAGGAUGCUUUUGGCGCGGUGCCUUCCGAGUUCCCUGGAACGGGACGCCUUAGAGGGUGAGAGCCCCGUACGGUUGGACACCAAGCCUCUGUAAAGCUCCUUCGACGAGUCGAGUAGUUUGGGAAUGCUGCUCUAAAUGGGAGGUAAAUUUCUUCUAAAGCUAAAUAUUGGCCAGAGACCGAUAGCGCACAAGUAGAGUGAUCGAAAGAUGAAAAGCACUUUGAAAAGAGGGUUAAAUAGCACGUGAAAUUGUUGAAAGGGAAGCGUUUGCGACCAGACCUCUCCCCGGCGGAUCAUCCGGCGUUCUCGCCGGUGCACUCCGCCGGGCUGAGGCCAGCAUCGGUUCCCGCGGGGGGACAAAAGCGGGGGGAACGUAGCUCCCUCGGGAGUGUUAUAGCCCUCCGCAUAAUACC